rnacentral:lncRNA from 1 species
AGGAUUUGGGGGUCCUGGAGGGGGUUUUGGGGGGAUUUGGGGGGGCUCAGGAGAAUCCCAAAAUCCUUCUCUGGGAACCCAGAGAUGUCCAGGAGUUCCCCUCAAGUGGGGAACCGACCCCAAAUCCAUCCUGGGGACCCCAAAUCCAUCCCAGAGACCCCCAAACCCAUCCUGGGGACCCCAAAUCCAUCCCAGAGACCCCCAAACCCAUCCAGGGACCCCCAAACCCAUCCUGGGGACCCCAAAUCCAUUCUGGGGACCCCAAACCCAUCCUGGGGACCCCAAAUCCAUCCUGGGGAACCCAAAUCCAUCCUGGGGACCCCAAAUCCAUCCAGAGACCCCAAACCCAUCCCAGAGACCCCAAAUCCAUCCCAGAAACCCCCAAACCCAUCCUGGGGACCCCAAAUCCAUCCAGGGACCCCCAAACCCAUCCUGGGGACCCCAAAUCCACGCCAGGGACCCCAAAUCCACGUCAGGGACCCCCCUGGGGCAGAGUGGGGCUCAGGGGGAUUUGGGGGGGCCCAGGACAACCCCAAAACUCGGGAGCUGCUGCUCGGGGAAUCCGGAGAUGUCCGGGACUUCCAGAGCUCAGGGGGGUCCCAAAGAGGGGGAAACGGCCCCAAAUCCUCGGGGGGGGACCCCAAAUCCUUCUGGGGGGACCCCAAAUCCUUCUGGGGGGGCCCCAAAUCCUUCUGGGGGGACCCCAAAUCCUUCUGGGGGGGUCAGAGGAGCUGCUCCCGGCUCCUCUCCAGCCGCUGCCGCUGCUGCUCCCGCCAGUGCCAGAAGCGUUUGGUUUUGGGGCGCAGGAACUGCACCACGUCCAUGGGAACCCGAACAGUGUCCAGCCCGUUCACCUGGGAACCCCGAAAACACCCCAAAAACACCCGAGUCACCCCAAAAACACCCAAGUCACCCCAAAACGAGCCCCAAAAACACCGCCAGUGACCCCAAAGCAGCCCCAGGGCACCCCAAAAUCCACCAGGAGACCCCAAGAUGCCCUGGGUCACCCCAAAGUGCUCUGGGUCACCCCAGAGUGCCCUGGGUCACCCCAAAGUGCCCUGGGUCACCCCAAAAGCGGCCCCAGGACAGCCCAACCCCCCCAGAUCAGCCCGAGGGGCCCGGCCAGAGGGGGGGG